ACGAGAAAGCGGGGGCAACUCCGUGAGUAAAGUGGCAGACGGGUGAGUAACACGUGAACAACCUACCCUCGAGUGGGGAAUAACACCGCGAAAGCGGUGCUAAUACCGCAUAACAUCUUCGGAUCGCAUGAUCUGAAGAUCAAAAGCGCAAGUUGCUUGAGGAGGGGUUCGCGCCUGAUUAGCUAGUUGGUGAGGUAACGGCCCACCAAGGCAAUGAUCAGUAGCCGGCCUGAGAGGGCGAACGGCCACACUGGAACUGAGACACGGUCCAGACUCCUACGGGAGGCAGCAGUGGGGAAUCUUGCGCAAUGGGCGAAAGCCUGACGCAGCAACGCCGCGUGGAGGAUGAAGGCCUUCGGGUCGUAAACUCCUGUCAGUAGGGAAGAAUGCCUCGCAAGAGGUUUGACUGUACCUGCUGAGGAAGCCACGGCUAACUCCGUGCCAGCAGCCGCGGUAAUACGGAGGUGGCAAGCGUUGUUCGGAAUUACUGGGCGUAAAGGGCGCGUAGGCGGCUUUACAAGUCAGAUGUGAAAGCCCCGGGCUUAACCCGGGAAUUGCAUCUGAAACUGUUUAGCUUGAGUCCUGGAGGGGGUAGUGGAAUUCCCAGUGUAGCGGUGAAAUGCGUAGAUAUUGGGAGGAACACCUGCGGCGAAGGCGGCUACCUGGACAGUGACUGACGCUGAGGCGCGAAAGCUAGGGGAGCGAACGGGAUUAGAUACCCCGGUAGUCCUAGCUGUAAACGAUGGGCACCUGGUGUUGGGGGUAUUGAGUCCCCCGGUGCCGGAGUUAACACGUUAAGUG
rnacentral:rRNA from 1 species